UACGAAGGGGGCUAGCGUUGCUCGGAAUUACUGGGCGUAAAGGGCGCGUAGGCGGCACUGUUAGUCAGGCGUGAAAGUCCUGGGCUCAACCUGGGAACUGCGCUUGAUACGGCAGAGCUAGAGGAUGGAAGAGGGUCGCGGAAUUCCCAGUGUAGAGGUGAAAUUCGUAGAUAUUGGGAAGAACACCGGUGGCGAAGGCGGCUUGCUGGGCCUGAUCUGACGCUGAGGCGCGAAAGCGUGGGGAGCAAACAGG
rnacentral:rRNA from 1 species